UAUGUAGUGAUGAUUGGGAAGAGUAGGAGAGGAAUGAGGUUCUAGAGAACGAAGCCUUGGCUGGAAGCUUCGCCCCAACCCUUUCUGAACCCACCCAUGAACUGCCAGGGAUGACUUGGCCAGGGAGACCCCCCUGUUAUCUUGGAGAACCUUUUUUAGCGUGCUAAAAAAGGAGAAUGAGUGACUGCUCCCGCAGUCAUGUAAGGUGGUACCACGGAAGCAAGCCUUUCGUCCUUCGA
rnacentral:ncRNA from 1 species